CUAAAACUCAUUCCCAUUAAGUUAACCAGAGUUCAGAGCUCUCAGCUUCCUGCAGGCAGUGCCCCUGCCAUCCUGUAUUUUUCAGUCUUGACCCCCAGUUCCACAAUUUAUCAUUAUCUGUGAACUGGAGGAGAAUUGAACAAGUAGUUCUCAGAAAUUCCACUUAUGAAUAAAACAUUGAAAGUUAUUCUCCUGCACUUAAAAUAAAAACAGCAAUUUUUGUCCUUUAUCUGUGUAAAAUUUUUCUAUUAAUGGCUGGCUUUGUAUUUUCUGAAGACUAUUUCAGUGCAUCUAUUAUAAAUAUUUAUGUGAUAAGAAAAAUGUUGGAACUCCUUCAAGGAAAUCAGAUGAGAAUGCAUCCACACACUUCAAAAAUAAAUGCAUAAGAUGCUGUCUCAACAAAACCCAUUUGAAUAUCUGGGGAGAGUGGACUGUGACCCUGUGAGAUAUCUUUCUGAAAUUAUGACACUUGCAGAAAUGUACCUAUUCCACAGAAUCUUUUUCAUUCCCAUUGUCUCGGUUUGCCAAAACGUGUAAACAGAAUGCCCUACGUAAGAUGACAGCUAAGCGACCACAAGAAGUUGAUUUGUUGCAAAUGUAAAGUGCUGGAGACGUGCUCCAUGUCACAAAACAUCUUAUCUAGAAUACUGUGUGGAAGAAUCAAAGAAAAGAAAACAAUAACAUUACAUAAAACAAAGGUAAAGUUUGACCUUCAGACCCAUCAAAAAGAAGCUCACCAUAUUGCUAUACAAGAAAAUCUGUCAUAAGGAAUCUAAGUCUACCUAUCAUGUGCUUGUUUGGAAAUAUGAUUCUUUGGAAAACAAAGCAUAAAUUCCCUGGGUUACUUUUUGUUUCCAGUCGUGAAAAUGAAAAUAUUCUUUCUCAAUGUUUAACAGAGCCUAAUGUAAGUGACGUUUGCUGUAUUUUGUC
rnacentral:lncRNA from 1 species